GACGAACGCUGGCGGCGUGCCUAAUACAUGCAAGUAGAACGCUGAAGCGAGGAGCUUGCUCUUCUUGGAUGAGUUGCGAACGGGUGAGUAACGCGUAGGUAACCUGCCUUGUAGCGGGGGAUAACUAUUGGAAACGAUAGCUAAUACCGCAUAACAAUGGAUGACACAUGUCAUUUAUUUGAAAGGGGCAAUUGCUCCACUACAAGAUGGACCUGCGUUGUAUUAGCUAGUAGGUGAGGUAAUGGCUCACCUAGGCGACGAUACAUAGCCGACCUGGGAGGGUGAUCGGCCACACUGGGACGGAGACACGGCCCAGACUCCUACGGGAGGCAGCAGUAGGGAAUCUUCGGCAAUGGGGGCAACCCUGACCGAGCAACGCCGCGGGAGUGAAGAAGGUUUUCGGAUCGGAAAGAUCUGGUGUAAGUCAAGAACGGGUGUGAGAGUGGAAAGUGCACACUGUGACGGUAGCUUACCAGAAAGGGACGGCUAACUACGUG
rnacentral:rRNA from 1 species